AUGAAGUCACAGACAGGACAUACAGAUAACCGCCGCCAGAAAAGUGUUACUACAUGCAUCGCACCGGAAUGCGGAUCAGAUCAGGCAGGACUUUAUUCAAACGAUCAAUCAACAGCUACACGAAACUGCCGCCGCCCAAUCAUUUCAUUUCUUCCUCAGCUUGGCCUUCAUCCGGUCCACCGCGGCCCUCAGCGUGCCGUCGUCCUUGCAGAAGGUGAACCUCACCAGGUUCUUCCCGUCCUCGGGGUUCAGGUAGAACACGCUCGGCGGGAUGGCCACCACGCCCACCUCGCGGAUCAGGUACUCGCAGAACUCGAUGUCGUUGUCGAACCCGAACGGGGUGUGGUCGACCAUCACGAAGUAGGUCCCGCUCGAAGGGUAGACGAUGAAGCCCGCGGCCUUGAGCCCGUCGACCAGGAGUGCUUUCUUCACGCCGUAGUCCCGCUUCAGCUCCUCAAAGUAGCUGUCGGGAGCUCUCAGGGCUGCCGCCGCUGCUGA
rnacentral:rRNA from 1 species